UGGGCGUAAGCGCACGCAGGCGGUCUGUCAAGUCAGAUGUGAAAUCCCCGGGCUUAACCUGGGAACUGCAUUUGAAACUGGCAGGCUAGAGUCUUGUAGAGGGGGGUAGAAUUCCAGGUGUAGCGGUGAAAUGCGUAGAGAUCUGGAGGAAUACCGGUGGCGAAGGCGGCCCCCUGGACAAAGACUGACGCUCAGGUGCGAAAGCGUGGGGAGCAAACAGGAUUAGAUACCCGUGGUAGUCCAA
rnacentral:rRNA from 1 species